AACAAGGCGUACCUGCGGACCUGCGGAGGGAUCAUUACCAGAGUGCCAUAGGCUCUCCAACCCAUUGUGAACAUACCUAUCGUUCCCUCGGCGGGCUCAGCGCGCGGGGCCUCCGGGCUUCCGGGCGUCCGCCGGGGACAACCAAACCCUGAUUUACUACGUGUAUCUCUGAGGGGCGAAAGCCCGAAAACAAAAUAAAUCAAAACUUUCAACAAUGGAUCUCAGAUCGGAAGAGCACAC
rnacentral:misc_RNA from 1 species